UGCAAAGCAGGUGAAACGUUUGGAUAAAGGUAUAUCCACUUUGAUGUCACUUGUAACAGCAAAGCUGUUUGACAGGGUCAUUGUCAACCUGAAAGGAAAGCUAACAAGUAAAAUGAAAAACAUUUGCCGUAAGCACAAAUCCAGCAUUCUGAUGAAUAAGGACUCAAUUAGGAAUGUAGGCAGAGGUUGGGAAGUACCAGUCACAAAAUCACAUGAAGUUUACCUUGUAGAAGAAAGUAAUAUCCUCUGUAACUGUAAAUUAGUGUGCACUGACUGUAAAGUGUGCAUUCAUAGGUAUUCCUGCAUGUGUAUUGAUUAUAGCAUUAAGUUAAAUAUGUGCAAGCACAUACAUGAUGUUUGCCAACUAGACAGUACGGAGCAAAAUCCUUUUGAAAUUUCUGAAUUGCAUAUCUCCAACAUUUGUAGCGACUGCAUCUUGUCAUUCAUUAAUGAGAGAGCAGUGAUUCUGAAGCAAGUAAGUGGAAAUGCUAAAUCCUGCAGCCCAGAAGCAUUGGCAGAAGAGAAGAGAAAAAUUGUUUUUAGGUUUUCAGCAAUUGUUUCUGGUAUGUCAGCUACUGAAGUUGAGCUGGCUAACAAAAUGGCGACUUCAUUGGCACCAGUAGUGGUAUCUCUUACAUUAGCCCACAAAUAAGUCUCAAGAGGAAACUUAACUUGUCUUCUUUGUUGAAAACAGCCUCCGGCACAAGUUCCUCACACCGCAUAUCCGUGGCAGUUCCUAAUGCAGAGGAAACCAGCAACAUCCUGAGUACACUUUUAGAUGAAGGACAGACACUGAGUGUGAGCAGCAAGCUUUGGCAUGCCAUGGCAGCAAGAGCUUCCUCACACCACACCAGGACCUGUCAGCAAAUGAGUUUAGGAAGGUGCUUUUGAUAUACCAUGAAAACAAGACCUUACACACAACACACCAGGGCCCAUCAGUUUGUCUAUAUGGCACAGCAAGUGUCACUGAACAAUGGCAGCAUCACAUCCAACAUGCCACCUAUGUCUGUCCCUGUAGCUGUGUGGUUAGAGAGACUGAUAGCUACGCAGGGUCCCAGGUGCAAUUCCUUGCCAAGUCGGAGAGUCUAUCCUCUCGGGGGCUGGGUUAUGUGUUGCCAUUAUCACAAUUUUACCUUGUUUUGAAAUGUAAGUCACCAAAGUGGUAUCAUCUGGUGAAGACUUAAAGUAGGCAUCCGAAUGGUCCUGCAUAGGAUCUCCCGGACAGAAAUGCCACAGGUCAUUUCUUUUCACUCUAGGGCUGUAGAGUAAGCAUUGAGUAGCGGUGUAUACUAUGAUGCAUUGUCAUGACUGACACCUAGCAUGGCAAUACAGUAUGCCACUGUAAUGGUGUCAACAGUGUUGUGUAGUUUGUCUGCUCCAGUGGUUGGUGGUGUUGAGAAAUAGACUUGUCAGGAAGGCCAGUUGGACCUCUGUACCCCAGGUUUGCAUUUUGGCCAGUGUAUGUUUGGAGCAAAUACAAUAAUACUCAGGUAUGGUGCAUGGUCAACAACAGCAUUGCACUGAGUCUUAAUCACAAUCAUCACUGCCCAGCUUGACAUGGGAGCAGAUUGACCUAGGAAUGUUAACAUUCUAGGCUGGUGGCAAAAGCAGCGUCAGUUGCUGGCUAUGCAUAAUAUCCCACAUAUCAGCAGAACUGCCAUACCAGAGGCUGGUGAAGAAGAAAGAAAGAAAGAUCGACGUUUGUUUCUGACGACUUCACCUUUGACAGAAUGUCAGAGCACAAGCUCUGGUACAGAGGACAGAGAAGAAAAUCAGCCUUGGCCUUUCACGGGAACUAUCCCAACAUUUGCCUUGAGUGAUUUAGGGAAAUAAUGGAAAACCUAAACCUGGAUGGUAGGACACAGAAGAGAACCAACAUGUUCCUGAAUAGGAGACCAGUGUGCUAUCUAAUGUGCAAUAAACCUUCAUCCAGAAGUGUUCUCAGUAGCUUGUUGGUUAAUUCUGUAUCAGGAACUGCCAUGGUUAUGCAGCUUGAGGAAUUUGUUUUCUUCACUGAAAACAGUCUCCUCUGCAGUGCAAGUUUUCUCUUGUGACUUCUUUGUGGGCUAAUGAAAGAGAUACCACUACUGCUGUGAAUCAUUUUGUUAGCCAGCCGAACUUCAGUAGCUGACAUACCAGAAACAAUAGAAAUAAUUUUUCUCUUCUCUUCUGCCAAUGCUUCUGAGGCAUAGGAACUAACUUGCUUCAGAAUCACUUCUCUCUCAUUAAUGAAAGAGACAUAUCUCCAACAUUUGUAACUAGUACAUCUGGUAACUCAGAAAUUUCAAACAGAUUUUCUUCUGUACACACUAGUUGGCAGACAUUAUAUAUAUGCUUGCACAUAUUUAACUUAAUGCUAUAGUAAAUACACGUGCAGGAAUACCUGUGAAUGCACACUUUACAGUCAGUGCACACUAAUUUACAGUUACAUGAAGUUUAUCUUGUAGAAGAAAAUAUUAUCCACUGUGACUUUGUGGCUGGUACUUCCC